rnacentral:rRNA from 1 species
CGUAUCACCCAAGACAACUUUACGGAGUUGACGAUUGACGGAGCGAAGCGACGUCAAAGCGUUCAUUAAAGUCGAGUUGGCUUAGGGAUACGUUCGUUGGGUAGGGGAGCGUUCUGUAAGCCUGUGAAGGUGUGUCGUGAGGCAUGCUGGAGGUAUCAGAAGUGCGAAUGCUGACAUAAGUAACGAUAAAGCGGGUGAAAAGCCCGCUCGCCGGAAGACCAAGGGUUCCUGUCCAACGUUAAUCGGGGCAGGGUGAGUCGACCCCUAAGGCGAGGCCGAAAGGCGUAGUCGAUGGGAAACGGGUUAAUAUUCCCGUACUUGGUGUUACUGCGAAGGGGGGACGGAGAAGGCUAUGUUGGCCGGGCGACGGUUGUCCCGGUUUAAGCGUGUAGGUGUGUGUUCCAGGUAAAUCCGGUUCACUUUAACACUGAGGCGUGACGACGAGGCACUACGGUGCUGAAGCAACAAAUGCCCUGCUUCCAGGAAAAGCCUCUAAGCAUCAGGUAACACGAAAUCGUACCCCAAACCGACA